UACGUAGGCAGCAAGCGUUGUUCGGAGUUACUGGGCGUAAAGGGUGUGUAGGCGGUUCUCUAAGUCUGGUGUGAAAUCUCCCGGCUCAACUGGGAGGGUGCGCCGAAAACUGGAGGACUAGAGUGCGGGAUGGGAGAGUGGAAUUCCUGGUGUAGCGGUGAAAUGCGUAGAUAUCAGGAGGAACACCUGUGGUGUAGGCGGGUCUCUGGGCAGUAACUGACGCUGAGGAGCGAAAAGCGUGGGGAGCGAACAGG
rnacentral:rRNA from 1 species